UGUGUUCAGGAUUACAAAAGAAACAAUUGAAGAUGGUGAUAGAGUUUGAUUGAUUAUAUUGUUACCGAUUAGAGAGGAGUGAACAUGUAUGAAGAUUUGCAGAUAGGAUUGGUAUUUUGUGUGUAGAAGAAGAAGGAGCUGAAGAAAAACUAUGUGCAACUAAGGAUCCAACAUAAGAAGAGGGGAGUUAGUAAGAAGCUAAUGUUGCCUGCCAACUCUUUUGAUAAUUUAAUGUGUUGUUUGCUGUGAUGAUGGAAGGAGGUAUAGCUGAAAUGGGUGCUUGUUUGAGCAUUUGCAGCUGAGUUAGGUGGUGAAUUGAAACUGCAGGAAGGAUGGAAGGAGGUAGCUGAAAUAGGUGCUUGGUUCUGGUGAUGCAGUUUGAGGUCAUAAGGAAGGAUUGCUAGGUCAAAGAGUAGUGUUGUUGUAUUAUAUGAUAACAUAAUGAGUUGCAGAAUGGUGGCUGUUUGGCUGUGAAUUGCCGGGAAUAGCAGAAUGAGUUGCAGCUGGGAUUGCAACUAGAUGAACAUUGCAGGGAAGUGAUUGAAUCUGCAGAAUGGUGCUCUAAAUGGCAGUUGCAGUUGAAGCUGAACGGAAGCUGCAGAUGUGAAGAAGAAGUGGGAGAGUAGUUCACGGGGGAAAGUAUGGAAUUGUGGAGUUUCUGCUGUGAGAUGGAUGGAGGAUAAGGAAAUGGUGGUUCUACUGAGAACGGUCUAGAAGCAGGCAUUGCUUUUCCUACAGGCAUUCAUCAAAGCACAAAAACCAAGGGCUUACUUCAAGAGGUUUCAAGUCAAAUUCAAGCGAAGGAGAGAAAUUGUUAUUGCACUCUUGAAUGCCACUCAAUGUGCAACUGACUGGUCAAAAGCUUAGCACAC